rnacentral:misc_RNA from 1 species
CCUGGUCUCCUCAGAGGUCACACCAUAAAGCGGCGGCACUUUCGUUCCCAGUAAACCGAGGUAUACAUAAAGCUGGCCGCGGUGAUGGAUCUCAUGCUCGCUCAUGAGCGUGAUCCAUUUUCCCAUCCGCAGCUCCGAACCCGCCGGCGUAAGACAUUUUCUUUCCAGGUCGUCGUGGGUCAGGGUUGAAAAGAUCGCCAUCGACUCCUCAUGCAAACCGUUAAAGAAUGUCAGGAUAUUGUCAAAUCCUUCCGCGAGCUCCUUUCCGCAUC